GAUGAACGCUGGCGGCGUGCCUAAUACAUGCAAGUCCAGCGAACGGACGAGAAGCUUGCUUUUCUGAUGUUAGCGGCGGACGGGUGAGUAACACGUGGAUAACCUACCUAUAAGACUGGGAUAACUUCGGGAAACCGGAGCUAAUACCGGAUAAUAUUUUGAACCGCAUGGUUCAUAAGUGAAAGACGGUCUUGCUGUCACUUAUAGAUGGAUCCGCGCUGCAUUAGCUAGUUGGUAAGGAAACGGCUUACCAAGGCAACGAUGCAUAGCCGACCUGAGAGGGUGAUCGGCCACACUGGAACUGAGACACGGUCCAGACUCCUACGGGAGGCAGCAGUAGGGAAUCUUCCGCAAUGGGCGAAAGCCUGACGGAGCAACGCCGCGUGAGUGAUGAAGGUCUUCGGAUCGUAAAACUCUGUUAUUAGGGAAGAACAUAUGUGUAAGUAACUGUGCACAUCUUGACGGUACCUAAUCAGAAAGCCACGGCUAACUACGUG
rnacentral:rRNA from 1 species